rnacentral:lncRNA from 1 species
UGAAUUGAGCUCUUUGAGUUCUUUUUGUUUUAAAAAGAUGAGAUUUUCAAAAUGACUCUCUAAUUGGUAAGAAAACAUCUUUUAAUUUCAAAAGUAAGUUCCUAAGUUGAAAAAGGUUUAAGAUUUCACCAAAAGACUAUUCCCAGACAAGAGAGGUGAGCCAAGGGCUGCUUAAAUACCAAGUCUUGCCUAGCCAGAAUGUCUAAGGUUACUUACUUGACCAAUUUUCAAAGAGAAUUCACUAUUGAAUUUAAAAGUGGACUCAAACAAACAAAGAUUAAAAACAAACACCUAGACUCCUACUUGCAGACUUCUAAGUAGAUCACCUAAACGAGAAACACAAAAAAAAUUCAAACAUAAGUAAGAAAAAGUUUUGCCAAGAGUUGAAAGAAAGAGCACCAAGGACUCUUCCCACACCACUUGGACUUUGAAUGGCCGUUUACAAAGAAGAAAUCAAAGCAAACCUAUUACAAAUCCAAAAAUGAACCAAAACUAUUACUACACAAAGGUUGCUGUUACGGUGUGCUCAAAAUCCUGCUGCAGAAAUGCACUCUAAUUAUGGUAUCCUUAGGUCUUCUAGCUCAUGUGCAUUAUGUAAAAGAUUCCUCCCUUUUCUCGGCUUUGGAAAAUUGAUGUAGUGAAAAGAUCCUAGUUAUUCUCCAAUGAUUGCCCAAAAUUGUUUGCUUUCGGCUUUGCACAAAUGACGUGGGAAAAAGGUUCCAAUCUGUUCUCAAGUUGUUGUUCUAGCUUUCAAACCAGUUCACAAAUCUGGUGCACACAGUUUAUCACAAGAAGCUUGAUGACUCUGCUGCAGCUAAUUAUCAAAUAAUUUCCAGAUUAAUUCUACCUAGCUGCAACAUGCCAAAACAACCAAUAUACAAGCACUAGCAAUUGGAAUUUGGAAAGUAAUCAAGACUAAUCAAAAUCAGAAUUUCAAAACUGAACAAAACAGUGUAACAUAUAUGAUGUGAGGAAUUCUGAUUUGGAUCAGCUCAACAAGUGUAAUUCAACAAGUUUAUUUGACAAAAAUCAGAUUAAUAAAUGUUGAA